rnacentral:tRNA from 1 species
CCAUGGUCAAGUGGUUAAGACAGCGGCCUCUCACGCCGUUAACGUGGGUUCGAAUCCCGCUGGGG